UUGAAUAGGUGUUAUUAUUUG
rnacentral:piRNA from 1 species